rnacentral:rRNA from 1 species
UACGUAGGGGGCACGCGUUGUCCGGAAUUAUUGGGCGUAAAGCGCGCGCAGGCGGUUUUGUAAGUCUGAUGUUAAAGCCCGGGGUUCAACCUCGGGUCGCAUUGGAAACUGUGUAACUUGAGUGCAGAAGAGGAAAGUGGUAUUCCACGUGUAGCGGUGAAAUGCGUAGAGAUGUGGAGGAACACCAGUGGCGAAGGCGACUUUCUGGUCUGUAACUGACGCUGAGGCGCGAAAGCGUGGGGAGCAAACAGG